GAGCUCCUUCACGGUGGAGAGGAACCGCCUCAGCCCCAGGCCACCCUCCCCGUGGGCCGGCCACAGGGUCGGGGAGCGGUCCCAACAGGCCCGACGGCAACCCCGUGUGUGGGGCCUGGCCUCGUGGCACGCAGGGUCCCCAGGAGACACCUGAGGUUCGGAGAGGGGACGUGCCAGGCCUGAGACACACAGCCCGCAGGCUGAUGGGGUUGAGGCAGCAGCGCCCACCUGCUGCAUGGAGAGCAGCAGCGAGGAGCCGUGGUUGCAGACCCCGAGACACGGCGCUCGUGUGAGUCCGAGGCUGCCACAGAUGUGAUGGAGGCUGAGGAGGGGGAGGUGCUGACAGAGGCUGAGAUGAUGCCUGAGGUCUGCAGCGACGACUGGGAGGUCAACUCCGGAACUUGAGGAACGGCAAGGCCAGCAGAAACACCAGACUGUAUUUACCAAAAUUGACAAAGAGACAAAAAUGGAACCACUUUAUAC